AUUCAGAUGACGAGUCCCAAAAAGGACGAAAUGUACCCGAUCCUGGAU
rnacentral:hammerhead_ribozyme from 1 species